rnacentral:snRNA from 1 species
AUGUUCACUGAGGCAGCAUAUAUAUUCAAAUUGGAAUGACACAGAGAUGAUUAGCGUGGCCCCUGAGCAAUGAUGACAUGCAAAUUCAUGAAGUGCUCUAUACUUUU